rnacentral:tRNA from 1 species
GGGGCCGGGGUCCCCGCGGGGGACCCGGGGUUUCCGGGUCCGGGGGUCCGGGGGUCCGGGGGCCCGGGGUUCCGGCCCCCGGCCCCG